rnacentral:rRNA from 1 species
AACGAACGCUGGCGGCAGGCCUAACACAUGCAAGUCGAGCGAGGACUUCGGUCCUAGCGGCGGACGGGUGAGUAACGCGUGGGAACGUGCCCUUUGCUUCGGAAUAGCCCUGGGAAACUGGGAGUAAAACCGGAUGAGCCCUUUGGGGGAAAGAUUUAUCGGCGAAGGAUCGGCCCGCGUUGGAUUAGGUAGUUGGUGGGGUAAUGGCCUACCAAGCCGACGAUCCAUAGCUGGUUUGAGAGGAUGAUCAGCCACACUGGGACUGAGACACGGCCCAGACUCCUACGGGAGGCAGCAGUGGGGAAUCUUAGACAAUGGGGGAAACCCUGAUCUAGCCAUGCCGCGUGAGCGAUGAAGGCCUUAGGGUUGUAAAGCUCUUUCAGCUGGGAAGAUAAUGACGGUACCAGCAGAAGAAGCCCCGGCUAACUCCGUG